rnacentral:rRNA from 1 species
GAUGAACGCUAGCUACAGGCUUAACACAUGCAAGUCGAGGGGAAACGGCAUUAAGUGCUUGCACUUUUUGGACGUCGACCGGCGCACGGGUGAGUAACGCGUAUCCAACCUUCCCAUGACUAAGGGAUAACCUGCCGAAAGGCAGACUAAUACCUUAUGGUCUUCACUGACGGCAUCAGAUGUGAAGUAAAGAUUUAUCGGUUAUGGAUGGGGAUGCGUCUGAUUAGCUUGUUGGCGGGGUAACGGCCCACCAAGGCAACGAUCAGUAGGGGUUCUGAGAGGAAGGUCCCCCACAUUGGAACUGAGACACGGUCCAAACUCCUACGGGAGGCAGCAGUGAGGAAUAUUGGUCAAUGGGCGAGAGCCUGAACCAGCCAAGUAGCGUGCAGGAUGACGGCCCUAUGGGUUGUAAACUGCUUUUGUAUGGGGAUAAAGUCAGUCACGUGUGAUUGUUUGCAGGUACCAUACGAAUAAGGACCGGCUAAUUCCGUGCCAGCAGCCGCGGUAAUACGGAAGGUCCGGGCGUUAUCCGGAUUUAUUGGGUUUAAAGGGAGCGUAGGCUGGAGAUUAAGUGUGUUGUGAAAUGUAGACGCUCAACGUCUGACUUGCAGCGCAUACUGGUUUCCUUGAGUACGCACAACGUUGGCGGAAUUCGUCGUGUAGCGGUGAAAUGCUUAGAUAUGACGAAGAACUCCGAUUGCGAAGGCAGCUGACGGGGGCGCAACUGACGCUGAAGCUCGAAGGUGCGGGUAUCGAACAGG